UAAAAACUUACAAGUUGGCCCAAUUAUUUCAGAGGGUUUGAAUCUGAAUGUAGAGAUUAUACGGGUUAUUACAAGUGAACUUAAGAGUCAAUAUAUAAGCAUAUAAGGUUAGUGCCUUGAUAAGCCCAUACAUCGCAACAUACCAUAGAGAAGUUGUCGCCGGCCCAUGCUUUGGGUGAUCACCAGAAACACCAGCUUCUUAAUUGUAGGAUAACCUCAAGAUCUUGCUGACAAAAGCAAAUAUAUUUAAGUGAAAUGAAAUCACACGCUAAGUUCCAUGUUCAUAAUUUUGUAGUCUUUUAUCAGUUUACUAAUAGUAAUUUAACAAUUUACCAUUCACAUAAAUGAAAUAAAAACCAUUGCUUCACAGGUUCUUAUUUAUUUGCAGAAAACUAGUAGUCUAAACUUUGAUCUUUGGAUAUCAAAAAAAAAAACUUUGAUCUUUGCAUAGAAUAAUAUAUACACAAUAGAUUAUAUAUACAAGUACUAGAUAAUAUUCGUAACCUAAAUAAAGCUAAACUGACCAUGAAACAAGGUUCUAAAAAGUUCUUAUAACUUCUGCAAGUAUUUUUUUUUUUUAAAGAAAGUAUGUUUAGAGUUUUUUUUAAAUAGGCUUAAGUAUGUGUUAAGUAGAGUUUUAGGGUUUAUACUAAAGUUACUACUCUACAAGGGACAGACUGCCAAAAGCUGAAAGUUGAAAUAACAAUCAUCAACAUCCCAACCGAAAGCGAUUGUGGAGUCUGGAGAUAAACGUAUGUAAAUCUUUAUAUAUAAAGUAUGGUUUGAUCUCUCCUGGUGAAGCCAUCUAGGAUUCCAGAUCACAAAUUCGGUUUUUGUGAGUGUGACACGUGUCCGGCUUCCCCAAAACGCAGAGCUUCAUUUAUUCUGAAUGGAUUAUUUGGGCUUCUAUAGCUUAUAGUUGGGUUUCGUCUUUUUGUUUGGGCUUAUAACUAAACAACCCACCUGAUUGUCUUUUACCUUCUUCACGAACGGCAAAACCAGGGUUCAUCUGUGUUAUUCCUCUGUUACUAGCUAAAGCUACAAUGGUGUCCAUUUGGGGAUCCUUCAGGCGACAGACGGUGGUGAAAAUUAGGGUUAGCCGUUAUCUUCACAAUGAACGAGCUUGAGCAACAAUGGCGAUCUAAUCGAUUAAAACGCAUCGUCGUUUCGUAUUUGGUCCUGAACCCCCAGACGUUACGACUCUCUUCUUUCAUCGGCUUUAAGAGAUGUCUUAACUCCACCGACGCAAUUAAGCACGACGUCUCAUUCAAUCAUACUCAUUCAACUCCAAGGCCGUUUUUUUACUUAUAAAAAAGGUGUGGUUGCUCCGAUCCAGGUGUGGAUGCUCCAAUUCUGGGAGGCCGAAAAAGCACAACGCGGUGAUGAGUUAAUGGGGGUUGAUAUGCUCCUCUUCGAUGUGAAGUCAACCCUCAUGCCAGCCACCGUGAACGUUCACCGGCUAGCCAAUUUCAGGGAUCGUCUCCAGGCUGCGGAUUUGAUAUCACUCGGUGCAACCAGAACUUCAGGCUUUCAGACUCACUUAUGACAAUACUGUUCAGUGAUUCAACCAAUCUAGAUGUGCUAACCGAACCAUAUUCACCCAUUCCUGUAAAACGUUUCAGGUUCCGUGAUUAGCCAGCACCAACACCUCUUCCAUGAACGUUAUUGGUGAGCUCACUGCUGUGAAAAGUACAGUGAGUGACAUUUAGUCUAGCGAGUUAUGGGACUUUUAAGAUCGACAGGUAAACUCUCUUCUACAUAUGAAUCUAUUCAAUACUUUCAUAAAUUAUCUUACUUUUCUUUUGAAUAUACAUUGACC